AUCCCUGGUCCAUCAAAACUUACUAAAAAGAAAGGAUCAAAUUCCCCAAAAUCGUUGAUAAUCCAUUACAAAUCAGAAAUGCCAUCCGCAUCAAAAGAACAAAGUCAAGAGACGAAUGUACAAACCCAAUACAUCUUAGUUCUUACGGUCAAGAACCCUCUCAGCCCAACAAAGCAUAAUAAUUAUAAUAAUAAUAAGUAAAUAAAAUUUGCUCAACCGCGAUUCGCUCAACCA
rnacentral:misc_RNA from 1 species